rnacentral:lncRNA from 1 species
UAGAAGUCAGGUCGGAUUAAGCCAUAGUACGGAAAAAACUAUGCUACCUGUGAGCCCCGUCCAAGGACGUUAAAAGAAGUCAGGCCACUACAAGUGCCAUAACUUGAGCAAACUAUGCAGCCUGUAGCUCCACCUGGGAAGGUGUAAAAAAUCUGGGAGGCCACAAACCAUGGAAGCUGUACGCAUGGCGUAGUGGACUAGCGGUUAGAGGAGACCCCUCCCUGGCAAAUCGCAGCAACAAUGGGGGCCCAAGGUGAGAUGAAGCUGUAGUCUCACUGGAAGGACUAGAGGUUAGAGGAGACCCCCCCGAAAUAAAAAACAGCAUAUUGACGC